rnacentral:lncRNA from 1 species
CAUUUUUGCUCAAUAUUUUCGCAAGGUGAAAUAUUCUCAGAAUUCACAUGUCUGUUAUUUGCUUUGAAAAUGGGUGUCGUCGCCCUGUUUUCCUCUCGGCUCUGAAGGACAUAGGUGGCUUGAAGAGUGCGCUGUGAUGUCAGAGACAAAGUGAAUUGCGCGGCCAACACCACCAGGUAAAUGUCACCUUGUGCCUGGCAGACUCUCCUACCUGCUUCUUGUGAAUUGGUGGGAUCAUCGGCCUCAACAUAGAGCAGCUCGAAGCCUCCUAGUACCGGGUGAGGCAAAGUCCAUUCUCAAGCCUGAUCACCCAGAUGGAACAGAGAAAUCUGUUACCGGCCUCUGAACAUCAACAGCGCAUAAUUAGCAGCUGCUAAAAUAAUGGAAGUCAAUUGAACAAAAAUGUGGCGCGUUCUGCCUUCAUUUAUUAAAUACCUUAUGUUUCCAAACACUGUGCUCCACAGCGGCUGAAGGGCCUUCGAGGGGCAUCGCAGCAAGUAUCCCUCCCUGGGCACCAGACACAAAGAACCGACUGACUUUUGUGAUGAACUUUCCAAACGAGCUGUUGCUACAGCCGACAAACCGACAAGCCGGCCGAGGGACCCGACUACUUCCCCUGAGCCCGACGACAAAAUAGAUUUGUCGCAAGCAAACUACAAUCUUCCUUUGAAGACAUGGAUGACAUAGUAAAACCGAUUGCACUUGAGAGCCGAUUCCAUGACUAUUUUGCUGCAACAGCCCUUUUGUUCCAGAGCGUGUUACGGUUUCACAGAGGAGAGGGAGACUCGAGGCUGCAUGACUUGGUAUCACCUUGGAGAGGAUGA